rnacentral:lncRNA from 1 species
UAAACUUCAAAAAUACCCUUCAUUAUGUGUAACAGAUCAAAUGCUGACAAGCUGUAUCCUCUGGAAAAGAGGUCACAGGAAUUUUUCUCUGCACGUGCAUGAGCUCGUAGAGGUAUAAAACGCGAGUUCGGUCUGCGAUUUAAUGACCACUUCUAAAUACAGGACCCUCUGGCAACAACUGAGCGUCAGCUAUUCCGUAGCGUUACCGAACAAAAGGCAUGCAGCUGAAAGUGAUCCUUGUGGGCUUGGCCAUCUUUGGUCUCAUUGUGGCAGAGAGCGGAGCCAUGCCUGCCAGCAGCGCAAGCGAAGCCGAGGCCAGGGCUGAUCCCGAGACUGCUGAGCGUGCCGAGUCGAGCAAUGCCGAGGAAGCACGUGUCAGCGGAGCAUGCAUGGCUUCCCUGUGCGGGUAGUAACUUGAUGCAAGAGAGUGACAACGCUCGAAAGAUUGUCUCGCGCAACAGUCACACGAAUACUUCAAAAGAUGCAACAGGCCCUGUCCAGCGCUCCGCACCAUGUCCUGGUGGCUAACGUGGUGGUCAUGUCCUGGUGGGAUAACGGGUGGCUGUUGCGUGCGCUCUUGCAUUUAAUAAAGUUGCAUUAAAAA